GAUGAACGCUGGCGGCGUGCCUAAUACAUGCAAGUCGAGCGAAGCGGGGACGGGUGAGUAACACGUGGAUAACCUCCUAUAAGACUGGGAUAACUUCGGGAAACCGGAGCUAAACCGGAUACUUAUAGAUGGAUCCGCGCUGCAUUAGCUAGUUGGUAAGGUAACGGCUUACAAAGUCAACGAUGCAUAGCCGACCUGAGAGGGUGAUCGGCCAACCUGGAACUGGGACACGGUCCAGAAUCCUACGGGAGGCAGGAGUAGGGAAUCUUGCACAAUGGGCGCAAGCCUGAUGCAGCCAUGCCGCGUGUAUGAAGAAGGCCUUAGGGUUGUAAAGUACUUUCAGCGGGGAGGCGUUACCCGCAGAAGAAGCACCGGCUAACUCCGUGCCAGCCGCCGCGGUAAUUC
rnacentral:rRNA from 1 species